rnacentral:rRNA from 1 species
UCUAACAAUUCUUGGCGGUGGAUCACUCGGCUCGUGCGUCGAUGAAGAACGCUGCCAGCUGCGAGAAUUAAUGUGAAUUGCAGAACUCCUUGAUCAUCGACAUUUCGAACGCUCUUGGCGGCCCGGGCCUUCGCGGCCCGAGCCACGCCCGUCUGAGGGUCGGUCA